CCUACGUGAGGCAGCAGUGGGGAAUAUUGCACAAUGGGGGAAACCCUGAUGCAGCGACGCCGCGUGAGCGAUGAAGUAUUUCGGUAUGUAAAGCUCCAUCAGCAGGGAAGAAAAUGACGGUACCUGACUACGCAGCUCCGGCUAACUACGUGCCAGCAGCCGCGGUAAUACGUCGGGGGCCAGCGUUAUACGGAUUUACUGGGUGUAAAGGGAGCGUAGACGGCUGUGCAAGCCAGCUGGGAAAGCCCGGGGCUCAACCCCGGGACUGCAUUUGGAACUGGGUGGCUGGAGUGUCGGAGAGGCAGGCGGAAUUCGUGGUGUAGCGGUGAAAUGCGUAGAUAUUAGGAGGAACACCAGUGGCGAAGGCGGCCUGCUGGACGAUGACUGACGUUGAGGCUCGAAAGCGUGGGGAGCAAACAGGAUUAGAUACCCCAGUAGUC
rnacentral:rRNA from 1 species